AUGCGAGUCGAGCGGAACGAGAGGACUUGCCUUGACGUUAGCGGCGGACGGGUGAUAACACGUGGGUAACCUACCUAUAAGACUGGAUAACUCGGGAAACCGGGCUAAUCCGGAUAAAUUUGAACCGCAUGGUUCAAGUGAAAGAUGGUUUGCUUCACUUAUAGAUGGACCGCGCCGUAUUAGCUAGUUGGUAAGGUAACGGCUUACCAAGGCAACGAUCGUAGCCGACCUGAGAGGGUGAUCGGCCACACUGGAACUGAGACACGGUCCAGACUCCUACGGGAGGCAGCAGUAGGGAAUCUUCCGCAAUGGGCGAAAGCCUGACGGAGCAACGCCGCGUGAGUGAUGAAGGUCUUCGGAUCGUAAAACUCUGUUAUUAGGGAAGAACAAAGUGUAAGUAACUGUGCAGUCUUGACGGUACCUAAUCAGAAAGCCACGGCUAACUACGUGCCAGCAGCCGCGGUAAUACGUAGGUGGCAAGCGUUAUCCGGAAUUAUUGGGCGUAAAGCGCGCGUAGGCGGUUUUUAAGUCUGAUGUGAAAGCCCACGGCUCAACCGUGGAGGGUCAUUGGAAACUGGAAAACUUGAGUGCAGAAGAGGAAAGUGGAAUUCCAUGUGUAGCGGUGAAAUGCGCAGAGAUAUGGAGGAACACCAGUGGCGAAGGCGACUUUCUGGUCUGUAACUGACGCUGAUGUGCGAAAGCGUGGGGAUCAAACAGGAUUAGAUACCCUGGUAGUCCACGCCGUAAACGAUGAGUGCUAAGUGUUAGGGGGUUUCCGCCCCUUAGUGCUGCAGCUAACGCAUUAAGCACUCCGCCUGGGGAGUACGACCGCAAGGUUGAAACUCAAAGGAAUUGACGGGGACCCGCACAAGCGGUGGAGCAUGUGGUUUAAUUCGAAGCAACGCGAAGAACCUUACCAAAUCUUGACAUCCUUUGACCCUUCUAGAGAUAGAGCUUUCCCCUUUCGGGGGACAAAGUGACAGUGGUGCAUGGCUUGUCGUCAGCUCGUGUCGUGAGAUGUUGGGUUAAGUUCCGGCAACGAGCGCAUCUCAUUAGCUUAGCUUGCAUCAUUCAGGUUGGACACCUCUAGAUUGGAACCUUGUCAGGAUA
rnacentral:rRNA from 1 species